UGUGUAGGCGGUUGCUUAAGUUUGGUGUGAAAUCUCCCGGCUCAACUGGGAGGGUGCGCCGAAUACUGAGUGACUCGAGUGCGGGAGAGGAAAGUGGAAUUCCUGGUGUAGCGGUGAAAUGCGUAGAUAUCAGGAGGAACACCGGUGGUGUAGACGGCUUUCUGGACCGUAACUGACGCUGAAACACGAAAGCGUGGGUAGCAAACAGGAUUAGAUACCCUGGUAGUCCACGCCCUAAACGAUGCACAUUUGGUGUGGGUCAUUCAGUUGAUCCGUGCCGGAGCUAACGCGUUAAAUGUGCCGCCUGGGGAGUACAGUCGCAAGGCUGAA
rnacentral:rRNA from 1 species